UAACAUUCUCCACAGUUGAGUGGAGAGUGGGAUAUGACUUUCUCACGUACUCUGGUGCCUCACAUUUGACCAUGUCCCCUGGAGGGGGAGACCUGGUGGCACUCAGAGGAAGGACAGCAGGUUACCAUGAAGAGACUUGAUACCCUAUGAGCAUAUACAGGGGGAGGUAAUCCCCCUCAGGAACAUCAUAGGGGAGGGGAGUAAGGGGAA